UGGGAGCUAGCGCAACCUUGCAUGGAUGAUUACGCUGAAGCACAGCGAUGAGUAGGAGAGAGAGAAUAGAGCCGCUGCGACCACGCCUCGCGUUCACCAUCGCCCAGCCUCUCGAUCGCUGGGGAAUCGGGCGAGAUCACCAAGUCGUGCAGAUCGUGCGUGUGGUCAGCAGAGCAAGGAAGUUGGCGGGGGAGACGAAUUGCUUGCCGGUGCUUGGCCGAAUCCUCACCGGGAAUCCUCGGGCGGCACUACAGCGUCGACCGGCCGCAUCGACGUCUUCUCGAGUGGUGAGACCCUACUAAAUUACUCGCCGUAGCAUCCGCAUAGAUGAUCCCCAUUCAAUUUCCGAAUUUAGACCUAGAAAUCGGCAGGGUUGGUUCGCCACCAAUGGCGACAUCGUGCCUUCGCGUUCUGUCGCCGGUCGGGCGCCGUGGUGAGAGAGAGAGGAUUGGGGGGGAGAAAAAUGAAGGGCUUGGGCUGUUGGAUCAUACACGGAUGGCACCGAUCUAAGCGCGCAUACCCCUUCGCUCAAUAGGAUUUGGGCCGUAGAUCUGAGAUCAAGCGAUCAGGAUUUGAUCAUAGUCAUUCUUAAUCUGGACUGACGAUCUUUAAUCCGGUGGUCCUCAUGGCUUACCGGUUCAUUUUUAAUGAAGUCUAAUCCUGGCCGCGGAAUUUAGAUCUGACGGCUGAAGUCAGCCCGUACCCCUUCGGCCGGGGAUAAUUGCACGUGAGCCCUCAUAAAACUAUCAAAUAAACCCGCCGUCCACUCACGUGGAAAACUAAUUAAAUCUAGGUCCUGAGUUUCACAGUUUAGACCCUGUGUUUUCUAGAAAUUGUGUUCGCAGGCCAGAAUUAAUAGGGAUAUUCAUAAUUAAAUCAGAAAAUGAUUUUUUUAUAAAAAUAAAUCUAGGAACUUGUUUAAUUCAUAGUUAAUUCAUUUUAGCUCCGGAUUGAGUUAUUCCAGUUGCAAUAAUUUUGUUUUAAUAUUAUCUAUCAUCUAGUGCUUCUGUUUAGCCAUAAAACUUGAAUUAAAAAUGUUCAUUUGAAUUAAUCUAUUCUAGGUGCUUAACAACUCCAGAAAUUCAUAACUUGUUAACCGUAACUCCGAAUUUAGUAAUUCUUGUUCCUAUGAUCUCGUUACGCAGCUUAGAAUAUUAUUAUGUAGUUUGAUCUUAUAUUUGGUGUGAUGUUAAUUUUGCAUAUACAUGUUUGUCUGUAUUACUACGUUUAGCAGUGAGGACACGAGUUACCUGAAGAUCAUCCUGGUACCUGGAAUCUCAAGUCCCAGGCAAGUUGUGCCCUUGAUCACUUCUUUUUACCCAGUCAUGUUCUGAUUAAUCAUAAUGAUCUGCAUAUGUUAAUUUUGAUGGGACCCAAUAGGUUACCCUAGUUUGAUUAUCUUUAUACCUUGAUUACCACUGGACUUUUUGGGUAGUACCUGCUAUUGCUUUAUGUGGUUUUGGGUAUGAAGAUUACAUUAUUCAUGAUUACACUUUUGUUAUUAGUUGUUAUUUACUAUUCAUGAUAAGAUCAUUAUGUUAAUUGGAACAUGGAGAACCACCCGGGAAAACAGUGCUACCACAAGGGUUUAUGGACGCCCUUGGCUGAUUAACUAGGAAAGCUAGUGGAGGUCUUCCUUACCCGAAAGGGGCAAGGGCAGUAGGGGAGUGGUCAGUGUAGGGAGGUCCUUGGUUGAUUUUGCUGCGAUGGCGGUCAGGCAAGAACCCUGCAUUGGAGCUUCCUAUAAACUGUAGCGGGAUUUCUGAAGCUAGUGGAACUUUGUAAAGGCCUCGUAGUGUUACCCUGCCUCGCCUCCUCGGUAGAGGUGUAUGGGAUUGGCCGUCUCUUGGCAGAUGGGUAACAUGACUUGUGCGUAAAGAUGUGCAACCUCUACGGAGUGUAAAACUGGUAUACUAGCCGUGCUCACGGUCAUGAGCGGCUCGGACACUCACAUGAUUAAAUUAUGGAACUUAAACUCAAUUUGUCAUAUGCAUUGCAUCGCAGGUGAGGUUGUUACUUUUGUUCUACUAAAUUGGGAUGGUAUUUACUUAUACUUAGUAAUUGCUAAUAAAAUUUUGACCAACUUUAAAAGCAAUGCUCAGCUCUAACCAUCCUCUUUGGUAAGCUUACACUUCACGUGAGCUCCCACCUUUGGCGAGUUCAUGCACAUUAUUCCCCACAACUUGUUGAGCGAUGAACGUAUGUGAGCUCACUCUUGCUGUCUCACACCCCCCACAGGUCAAGAACAGGUACCACAGGAUGAGGCGCUUGGAGGAUGCUGUGACGAGUUCGUGAGAGGUCUAGGUCGUCGUCUCCCAGUCAACUUUGGGUUGCUGGACCGUUGUCUCCAUAUAAUGUAUUUAUUUAUUUAUUUUGUACAAAACUCCGAUU
rnacentral:lncRNA from 1 species